rnacentral:misc_RNA from 1 species
UAUAUUUGUGUGUUCCAAUUUUAAUGUUGCUGUCAAAAUAUUAAUGGGUAGUAGUUUGAUUUUUAUUUUCUUUUUUGGUUUUUACUUUUGUGGAAGAUUAGAGCGUGAGAAUUGGCUUCACUGGCUUGCUGUAUAUGAAAUCCUAUGUUUUUUUUUCCCUUCUUGAUAUCCCAUCUUUUUUAUCCAUUUUUCUACCGUUUGAUGUUCCAUAAAUUCUCUGAUUAUAAGGUAUGAGUUGUGAAUAAAUGGGGUUCUAAUGUGUGAAACACAUUAUAACACAUUUGGUUGAAACAUGACAUGACCAACUUUAGGCUAACUAGUUUUUUAUGAUUGCUAAGUUGUAGGGACUGCAGGUUGCUCUAGACUAACCAUUGUAUUGCUGUAUGUGUGCAGUGAUUGCUAUAUAGUUCACACGGUGACCUUAGAUAACCUUAAUGAUGUUAUUUUAUAAUGUGUCAAAUUGAAAAGAGGUUAGAUUUCCUUGUUUGUAUAUUAAGCAAUAACCUUUAAAAUCCAACAAGUUUUUUGGAUGUGGUUUUCAGUGUGACAAUAAUGGUUAUUGGUACAUUUUCAAUACCAAGUCAAGCAUCUUAAUGUGAAGAAUUAAUAAAAUUCCUCAAUGAUUACAUUCAGCAAUAAUUGUCUCAGUGGUCAAGAAUUUAUGAUUUUGAUUUUUUUCAUUAGCUGCAUUUGUGUAACCUUUUUUUUUAAGUUUUAUUAUUGUGGGGAAAAGUUGCCUCAAUAUAUAAGUACUGCAUCAAUAUGAUUCUCUUUUGGUAUUUUUGUUGUAAAGAUUAUAUUUCUAGCUACCUUGAAGUGAAAUUAUUGUUGUUCAUGACUUUUUGAAGCCGUGUUCAAAUCCACAUAUGAGGGGUUAGUACUGAUAACAUGAGAGCUCUUGUACUUGGAAUGUUUCGCAAAUUAUUUAACUAGUUGUUGUAUCUGCCUUUUAAUUUGUUUUCUAUAUGUAUUUGGUACUAUUUUUUUUAUUUUGUACGUGUCAAGUGGAGCAUUUGACUAAUAUGUUGCCAUUCCCUUUUCUGUUCUUCCAGCAAAUCCAUGCGCUUAUUGUGUCA